rnacentral:other from 1 species
AAAGCUCUGCCUUGCUCGUGUGAAGGUGUCUCUAUUGAGUCAACACAUUUGCUAAGGGAGCCUGCCUCUAGUUGUGUAGCAAAUGCCUUUAUGAGGAAUUGUAAAGCAAUUAGGAGGGCACCCACUUAUUUGUGGGGUCGGGUUCAACAGAGUUUUCCGGACACGGCACGGCGGAGUUUUU